GUGGGGAAUUUUGGACAAUGGGCGAAAGCCUGAUCCAGCCAUGCCGCGUGCAGGAUGAAGGCCUUCGGGUUGUAAACUGCUUUUGUACGGAACGAAAAGACUCCUUCUAAUAAAGGGGGUCCAUGACGGUACCGUAAGAAUAAGCACCGGCUAACUACGUGCCAGCAGCCGCGGUAAUACGUAGGGUGCAAGCGUUAAUCGGAAUUACUGGGCGUAAAGCGUGCGCAGGCGGGUAUAUAAGACAGAUGUGAAAUCCCCGGGCUCAACCUGGGAACUGCAUUUGUGACUGUAUAGCUAGAGUACGGUAGAGGGGGAUGGAAUUCCGCGUGUAGCAGUGAAAUGCGUAGAUAUGCGGAGGAACACCGAUGGCGAAGGCAAUCCCCUGGACCUGUACUGACGCUCAUGCACGAAAGCGUGGGGAGCAAACAGGAUUAGAAACCCCAGUAGUCC
rnacentral:rRNA from 1 species